AUACUUUUUGUUGUCUUGUCGCAUGUCAACUUUUGCGUAUAAAAGACGACGAGCCCAGCUAUACCUUAUUCCAAGAUUUGGACACCUUAACACUAUAUCAUUGAAGAGAAAUUCACAAGAGUUCAAGGAUGGGAACAAAGAAUGCUCUGAUGAUUGCUGUUAUGCUUUUGGUCUUUGUUGGAAGUUUUGAUUUGGGAGAAUCGUUUUUCAACCAACAACCCCAAUGUUAUAAAAAUAGAAUUUGCUGGAAUAGAUGGGAUUGCGGUUGGAAUCCAAGAUGUGUCUGUCGACCAUUCUCUAAAAACAGUCGUGUUGGUCGUUGUUCCUGGAGAUGGUGGUAACAUCGGAAGAAAGGCAAUAUGACAACACAGUCGAUUAAUGACAUUAAGUCAUAAAAACGAUAAUAAAUAAUUAUCAUUA